rnacentral:rRNA from 1 species
AUUGAACUCGCUGUGAAGAUGCAGUGUACCCGCGGCAAGACGGAAAGACCCCGUGAACCUUUACUAUAGCUUGACACUGAACACUGGUCCUUGAUGUGUAGGAUAGGUGGGAGGCUUUGAAGUGUGGACGCCAGUCUGCAUGGAGCCAACCUUGAAAUACCACCCUUUAAUGGCUGGUGUUCUAACGUAGACCCGUAAUCCGGGUUGCGGACAGUGUCUGGUGGGUAGUUUGACUGGGGCGGUCUCCUCCCAAAGAGUAACGGAGGAGCACGAAGGUUAGCUAAUCCUGGUCGGACAUCAGGAGGUUAGUGCAAUGGCAUAAGCUAGCUUGACUGCGAGCGUGACGGCGCGAGCAGGUGCGAAAGCAGGUCAUAGUGAUCCGGUGGUUCUGAAUGGAAGGGCCAUCGCUCAACGGAUAAAAGGUACUCCGGGGAUAACAGGCUGAUACC